rnacentral:rRNA from 1 species
AGUGAACGCUGGCGGUAGGCCUAACACAUGCAAGCCGAACGGCAGCACAGUAAGAGCUUGCUCUUACGGGUGGCGAGUGGCGGACGGGUGAGGAAUACAUCGGAAUCUACUUUUUCGUGGGGGAUAACGUAGGGAAACUUACGCUAAUACCGCAUACGACCUACGGGUGAAAGCAGGGGAUCUUCGGACCUUGCGCGAUUGAAUGAGCCGAUGUCGGAUUAGCUAGUUGGCGGGGUAAGGGCCCACCAAGGCGACGAUCCGUAGCUGGUCUGAGAGGAUGAUCAGCCACACUGGAACUGAGACACGGUCCAGACUCCUACGGGAGGCAGCAGUGGGGAAUAUUGGACAAUGGGCGCAAGCCUGAUCCAGCCAUACCGCGUGGGUGAAGAAGGCCUUCGGGUUGUAAAGCCCUUUUGUUGGGAAAGAAAAGCAGCAGGUUAAUACCCCGCUGUUCUGACGGUACCCAAAGAAUAAGCACCGGCUAACUUCGUG